AAUCUAUUUCCUUUUUUUCAAAAAGUAAUCCAAGAUUAUUCUUGUUCCUAUAUAAUUCUCAUGUAUGUGAAUAUGAAUCCAUCCUCCUUUUUCUCCGUAACCAAUCUUCUCAUUUACGAUCAACAUCUUCUGGAGUCUUUCUUGAGCGAAUAUAUUUCUAUCGAAAAGUAGAACAUCUUGUCCAAGUCUUGGCUAAUGAUUUUCAGGACAUCUUAUGGUUGUUCAAGGAUCCUUUCAUGCAUUACGUUAGAUAUCAAGGGAAAUCUAUUCUGGCUUCAAAGGAUAGGCCUCUUGUGAUGAAUAAAUGGAAAUAUUACCUUAUCAAUUUAUGGCAAUGGCAUUUUCACAUGUGGUCUGAACCGGGAAGGGUUCAUAUAAAGCACUUCUACAAACAUUCUAUCAACUUUCUGGGCUAUCUUUUCAGUGUGCGACUAAAUCCUUUGGUGGUACGGAGUCAAAUGCUAGAAAAUUCAUUUAUAAUAGAUAAUGCUAUGAAGAAGUUGGAUACAAUCGUUCCAAUUAUUCCUCUGAUUGGAUCAUUGGCUAAGGCGCGCUUUUGUAACACAUUAGGGCAUCCCAUUAGUAAGCCGACCCGGGCCGAUUCCUCAGAUUCUCAUAUUAUCGACCGAUUUGUG
rnacentral:rRNA from 1 species